rnacentral:rRNA from 1 species
AUUGAACGCUGGCGGCAGGCCUAACACAUGCAAGUCGAACGAGUGGCGGACGGGUGAGUAAUGUCUGGGAAACUGCCUGAUGGAGGGGGAAAACUACUGGAAACGGUAGCUAAUACCGCAUACCAUCGGAUGUGCCCAGAUGGGAUUAGCUAGUAGGUGGGGUCAAGGCUCACCUAGGCGACGAUCCCUAGCUGGUGUGAGAGGAUGACCCGCCACACUGGAACUGAGACACGGUCCAGACUCCUCCGGGAGGCAGCAGUGGGGAAUAUUGCACAAUGGGCGCAAGCCUGAUGCAGCCAUGCCGCGUGUAUGAAGAAGGCCUUCGGUUUGUAAAGUACUUUCAUCGGGGAGGCGUUACCCGCAGAGGAAGCACCGGCUAACUCCGUGCCAGCAGCCGCGGUAAUUC